GGGAACAAAACAGGAGAGUUAUAGGAAGUGAGAAAUGGAGGCGUGGCAAAGGAACACUUAUGGUUCUCAAACCCAUCACAUAAUACACAGUUUCUCCUGCUCAGAGGAAUUUCCGAAAACAAGCGAAGCUUAAGCCAAACAGUGGAAAACCAUCAACCCAAAGCCAACAUUUUUGGGGUAAUUUUGUUAUGUUCUUCUUUAUUCACAUUCCUGUGGCGAGACAAUAUAUUUCCACAACACCCACAGCAGAGUUGAUGAUACUGACAGUAAUCAUAACACUUUGAUGGCAUUUCUUAUCAAUAAAACAAGCAGAACUGUCUUUUUGCACUAAAAAAAACCAUGUAGGGAUACCAGGACAGUUAUCUCAACAGACCAGAACGCAAUGCAGCUGAAACAUGCUGUGUGAAUAUGGAGUAAAGGUGAAGUCCCGGUGCUUACAACCCAGUCAUCCAACUCAACAUUCACAGCUCUGACAAACAAAACUCCUCCACAUCUGAACUCUGGCUGCUGUUGGAAGAUUUCUAGAAAAUGGAGGAAAACCACGAGCACCCACGAACAUCUUGCUUUUGUGUGCAGUGGGAAAGGUUGCAACGACAUUCAUUCCCUGGUCAAACGUCUCUGCGUCAGUCGCCGGGUGGUCUCCUAUCAAACGUGAUUGUGGGCGGACACAUUAAUCGCUGCUCCUUUUCAUUAAUCACAUCAUUCAGUUGGCUUUGAGUUUGAAAGAGACAGAGAAAUAAAAGGCAUGAAAAACCACCGUAACUAAGCAGGCGGGAUGUCGAACAGGACACACCAGGAAAAUAAAACGGAAAGGAAAACUUGUCUCUUGGUUUCCGUAGUGUUAACAUGUUUUAAAAAACGUAUUUAUACACAUUCAUUUUGGUUUACAAAUGGUAUAUAUGAAAGUGUGGAACUCUUGGCGUGCAUCGAGCAUCACACACUGAUAACACAUCACGCUAUACACAUCUGAUGGAGUAUUUUCCAUUUAACUUUCCCUUUAAGUUCUAAUCACAUAAAAAAAUCUGUGGCAUGAAAUCCAAACCCACAUGUGACAGAUUGUCUCGUGACAACAGUUCUUGGGAUUUAGAAAUAAAAGCCAAGAGGAAAAGAUAUCUGGAACGAUUUGAAAAAAGGAAAAAGAAGGGAGUGAAGUGGUGUCGGGUGUGAAAACAUCAGCAGCUAUUCUGUCACUCUUGGCAUACUGUAACUCUUCUGUCGAUCCAGAUACAAACAAAUAUCAAACAAAUUAGAUGCAAGAAAGAAUCAUUUAAACUCAACAAAACGCACAAAAAAGCAUGUUUUCAGUUGUCUGGAGACGCAACAAACCUUUGUUCACUGAUAAUCUGAGGUUACGAAGACACUUGUGGUGGAUUUAUAAAAUAACACAAAACAUAUGGAACGUGUCUCGUGAUUUUACCCAGAAUGCUUUAUUGUAAUCUGAGUGCAUAUGUUUCCAGGAUGGAUAAUCCUGUGGGAGCUGCAGGAGGUUUGACUCAAACCACUGAGUCACACGAGACCAUGACGUGGCGUAGAAACCAACUGGCUCUGUGCGGAAAGAAUCUUGGGAUAUGUGAGGCCACGAAGGAUGGUAGCGUUGCAUCCUCCAAAAAGAGGGAAAAGAAGGAGCAUUUGAAGGAGCCUUCAAAUUGAGACAGCUGUCGCACGGCGUUGUGACGUGAUUGGCCAUCUAAUCCUCCUCCGAAGGAUGCAGACCCUGAACUGAGACAGCAAAUGUUUCAACAUUUCUACACUCGUAACCACCGAUUGUGCUUCAGGAGACAUCAGGAGAUUAGUUGGCUAAAUUUCCAGCCGUGUUUGCGCCGACAGAAGGGCGUCAGCCAAAAUGUGAUCUUUUCCUUACAAUAACCAAGCAGCUUGUACGCCUGAACCUAACCAGACAAUAAGCACAGAUUUGUCACAAAAUAAAAUGUAUUAUCAUAAAGAUGAGCAUAAGACAAUGA